AUUGACAAUCAAGAAGAACCAGGAGAUGAAGUGAGGAUUUGACUCAUCCUCCAUGUGCACAAGCAAACCUGGCCAGACCACCUGAGCAGGUAUGCCAUGAGAAUAUAGCUGUGUAAAAUAAAAUUGCUUAAUGACUUUGAAUAUUACAAUCUCCUUCCAAUAACCUUCCAGUGAGUUUUGUAGCUGUGACUUCCCACAAACCAACCAAAUUGAGAAAAAGCAUGCUCAUCUCCACUGGGUUGCAAUCAUCAGAGGGGAGUCAUCUGAAAGAAAUGUGGACACACACUCUGGGUGUCAAUAACUUUAUGCCACGUGUGUUAAACAGAACUGUGCCUCAAAAGAGCAGCUAUUCAGACCUACCCAGCCCUCUCAAGCACAGGUUUCCUCCCUGAAGAGGUGAGUGUCAGUGGCAGCAGGUGAUGGCAGUCAUUCCACCCACCUGUGCCCCACCUGCUGGGGCUGUAAAUUGUGACCUCUGGGAAGAGCUCUGCCAGGGCACGGCAGUGUGUGAGCAGGUACCGCACACAGCCCCACACUGCUGGAACCGGCUGAGAAACAAUCAAACACUGACAACACCGCACACCCCACGGUUACUGUCGCUCAGCUCUGUCUCCAGCCGGCUGCUGUCCUCACCCCUCACAGCACAGCAGCGCACGGGGAGCGGGGUGAGGGUGCUGAGGCCUCCAUUGCUGCGGGAGAACGCUCAGCCUCCUUCCCCAAGCGUGCUCGGGCACAAAGCAGCGCUCCAGCCCGCUCGGGCACAAAGCAGCGCUCCAGCCCGCUCGGGCAGGGCAGCAGCCCCGGGGAGCCCGGCCCACGCUGGGCUGGAAGGAAGGACGAGGACAGGCCUGUGUGCCCCUGCGUGGGGCAGCCCUGCGGACGGGCUCCUUGGGCCUGCUGCCCAGCAAAGGCUCUGCAGGUGCAAGGACACAGGCUGGCCUUGGAAAAGCUGCCCACGGAAUGCUGAUCCCCCAUGCUUUUCAUACUGCCCAAAAGGAGAGACAGGGCGACGAUGCAAACAGGCCGAGCCAAGAACCACCUUCCUUUGUGGGCACAAAGAAAUGCAGCCCUCCAGGCAAUGGCUGUGCCUCACACUCAGCCUGGACAUUAUGCAGCUGGAAUGGAUUUCAGAAGAUGCCAUCCUCCACCUGUGGCUGUUUCCAACACCAGCAAGGGCUGUAGGGGUGGACAGCCCUGUCUCUACCAAAGAAUAG
rnacentral:lncRNA from 1 species